GUGCCUGAUCUCAUCUGAUCUCAGAAACUA
rnacentral:rRNA from 1 species